UACGAGGGGGGCAAGCGUUAUCCGGAAUCAUUGGGUUUAAAGGGUCCGUAGGCGGUUUUGUAAGUCAGUGGUGAAAUCCGGCAGCUCAACUGUCGAACUGCCAUUGAUACUGCAGGACUUGAAUUAUUGUGAAGUAACUAGAAUAUGUAGUGUAGCGGUGAAAUGCUUAGAUAUUACAUGGAAUACCAAUUGCGAAGGCAGGUUACUAACAAUAUAUUGACGCUGAUGGACGAAAGCGUGGGGAGCGAACAGG
rnacentral:rRNA from 1 species